AGAAAGAGAAUCGAUUCCGUAAGUAGCGGCGAGCGAAAGCGGAUCAGCCCAAACCAGAGUGAUUUAUCACGCUGGGGUUGUAGGACUAUAAUGUGAGAAGCAACGGAUAGACGAAUACCUUGGAAAGGGUAACCAUAGAGGGUGACAGUCCCGUAGUUGAAAUCCCGCGCCGAUCUAAUAGUAUCCUGAGUAGCACCGGACACGUGAAACCCGGUGUGAAUCUGCGCCGACCACGGCGUAAGGCUAAAUACAAGAUGACGACCGACAGUGAACUAGUACCGCGAGGGAAAGGUGAAAAGCACCCCUGUUAGGGGAGUGAAAUAGUAACUGAAACCGAUGGCUAACAAAUCAGUAGGAGCCGCCUUGUGCGGUGACUGCCUGCCUUUUGUAUAAUGAGUCUGCGAGUUUAUGUCCGUAGCAAGCCUAAGCUGCUAAGCAGUGGAGGCGUAGCGAAAGCGAGUCUGAAUAGGGCGAUUGAGUUGCUGGCAUAAGACCCGAAGGGGAGGUGAUCUUACCAUGACCAGGUUGAAGCGUUAGUAAAAUAACGUGGAGGACCGAACCGGUGUAGCUUGAGAACUGCUCGGAUGAGUUGUGGUAAGGAGUGAAAGGCUAAUCAAACCCCCUGAUAGCUGGUUCUUUCCGAAAUAUAUUGAGGUAUAGCGUCGAGCGCUGACCUGUGGAGGUAGAGCACUGAAUAAGCUAGGGCCCCUACCGGGGUACUGAACUUUAUCAAACUCCGAAUGCCACAGGGUGAAGCUCGGCAGUCAGACUUAGGGUGCUAACGUCCUAAGUCGAGAGGGCAACAACCCAGACCAUCAGUUAAGGUCCCUAAAUGUGGCUCAGUGGUAAAGGAUGUGAUUUUACUUAGACAAUGGGGAUGUUGGCUUAGAGGCAGCCAUCAUUUAAACAGUGCGUAACAGCUGACCCAUCGAGUGAAAUUGCGCCGAAAAUGAUCGGGACUUAAGCCACAUACCGAAGCUAUGGAUUUCAGUUCCUCGGAACUGGAGUAGUAGGAAAGCGUUCCAAGUGCAGUGAAGGAGAAGGGGCAACCGACUCUGGAGCGCUUGGAAGUGAGAAUGCAGACAUGAGUAACGAUAAAGAUGGUUAAAGUCCAUCUCGCCGUAAGGAUAAGGUUUCCUGGGGAAGGCUCGUCCUCCCAGGGUUAGUCGGGAGCUAAGAUGAGGCCGUAAGGAGUAAUCGAUGCACAGAAGGUUAAUAUUCCUUCACCGGCUUGCAACUAUUCCCAGAGUGCGGAUCGACGGACCCUACAGACCUGUUUUGACAAGGCACUGCAAAGCUACGGCUGCGUGGGUGUAGGGAAAGAAGGUUCCAAGAAAAGCUCUGGAAUUACUAUGCAGGUCGCUCGUACCGCAAACCGACACAGGUAUCCGGGAUGAGUAUUCUAAGGCGCGCGAGUUAAAUCUCUCUAAGGAACUCGGCAAAUUGGCCCCGUAUCUUCGGUAUAAGGGGUGCCCCUCUAGGGGGGUCGCAGUUAAUAGCGUCAACCGACUGUUUAGCAAAAACACAGCUCUCUGCAAAGUCGCAAGACGACGUAUAGGGAGUGACACGUGACCAAUGCGAAAAGGUGAACGCCUGGGGUGCAAGCUCCGGGUCUAAGCCCUCGUGAAUGUCGGCCGUAACUAUAACGGUCCUAAGGUAGCGAAAUUCCUUGUCGGGUAAGUUCCGACCCGCACGAAUCGUGUAACGAGUUGACGACUGUCUCGGAGAGACGCUCGGUGAAAUUGUAGUAGCGGUUAAGAUGCCGCUUACCCGCAGCAGGACGGAAAGACCCUAUGCACCUUUACUGUAAGCUGUUAUUGUCGCUUGAUCUUCAUUGCGUAGAAUAGGUGGGAGACGUUGAUCCUUCGUUCCAGGACGAAGGCUAGUCGUAAUGUGAAAUACCACUCUUUGUUGGUUAGGCGUCUAACCUCUUUCCAUUAUCUGGAGGAGGGACAGUGAUAGCAGGUCAGUUUUACUGGGGCGGUAUCCUCCUAAAAAGUAACGGAGGAUUUCGAAGGUUCCCUCAGCCCGGUCGGUAAUCGGGCUAUAGAGCGCAAGAGUAUAAGGGAGCUUUACUGUGAGACCUACAAGUCGAGCAGUUGCGAAAGCAGGAUCUAGUGAUCCGGUGGUUGAAAGUGGAAUCGCCAUCGCUCAUAGGACAAAAGGUACGCUAGGGAUAACAGGCUGAUCGCGCCCAAGCGUUCACAGCGACGGCGCGGUUUGGCACCUCGAUGUCGCCCUAUAGUGAGUCGUAUUACAAUUC
rnacentral:rRNA from 1 species